GGGUGAUUAGCUCAGUUGGCUAGAGCGCACGAUUCACAUUCGUGAGGUCGCAGGUUCGAGCCCUGCAUCGCCCACCA
rnacentral:tRNA from 1 species